AAAUUCUUCAUUCAAGGAUUGAAUAGCUACAAAUAGCUGUCAUAAUUUUCAGUAGGAGCGCUAAUGGCACAAUUUAUACAUCUAUGAACCCUAAUCAAGACAAUAGAUAAAACACAACCGCUAAUCAAGACAAUUGAUAAAACAACCCUAAGACUGAUUAAGAGCUGGUAAAUUUGGUAACAGCCUUUGUACCCUCAGAUACAGCAUGCUUAGCCAAU
rnacentral:misc_RNA from 1 species